UGGCGGACGGGUGGAGUAACGCGUGGGUAACCUGCCUCAUACAAGGGGGGAAGUAAACGAAGUUAAGUAAAUAGACUGCUAAUACCGCAUAAGACGCACAGACGCAUGGUCCGGUGUGAAAAACUACCGGUGGUAUGAGAUGGACCCGCGUCUGAUUAGCUGGUUGGCGGGGGUAACGGCCCACCAAGGCGACGAUCAGUAGCCGACCUGAGAGGGUGGCCGGCCACAUUGGGACUGAGACACGGCCCAAACUCCUACGGAAGGCAGCAG
rnacentral:rRNA from 1 species